GCUUGAGUAGCUCAGUUGGUAGAGCAUCAGACUUUUAAUCUGAGGGUCCAGGGUUCGAGUCCCUGUUCAAGUG
rnacentral:tRNA from 1 species